UAUGUCUAUAUCAUGUUGAAAGCCCUGUUCCCAUAUGAUCACCAAAGUUAAGCAACAUCGAGCCAGGUCAGUAGAUAGAUGGGUCACCACUUGUGAAAACCAGGUGCUGUAA